rnacentral:ncRNA from 1 species
AGAAAUAGACAAACCCGUCAAAAGACGGGGACGCAAAGCCAGAAGGGUCUAAAGCGGCAAAAGCCGCAAUGACAGCCGGUUGC